rnacentral:lncRNA from 1 species
UGUGCUUUAACAAGAAACCCUUAAACUGUACUUUUAAGUAUUCAAUAGCAGUUUUUUUCCUUAGUGUGUUACUCUUACUAGAACAUUCUAUAUGUAUAUAACUAAGGAACUGUGUGUACGACAGAGCUGAGAGAAUUCGGCAAAUCAGAACAAAAUGACAACCCCUCCUCACCCCAGGCCAUUGCGAUCCAGAAGCAAAGAAUGGCAGGAGCCAACUGCUAUCAAAAGAGGCUUGUUAUCCUCAACAAUGCUGAACAAUUACUACAUGUUUUUGAACCAGCUUGGGAUCAACCACAUCACGUUC